rnacentral:rRNA from 1 species
UUAAGCGACUAAGCGUACACGGUGGAUGCCCUGGCAGUCAGAGGCGAUGAAGGACGUGCUAAUCUGCGAUAAGCGUCGGUAAGGUGAUAUGAACCGUUAUAACCGGCGAUUUCCGAAUGGGGAAACCCAGUGUGAUUCGUCACACUAUCAUUAACUGAAUCCAUAGGUUAAUGAGGCGAACCGGGGGAACUGAAACAUCUAAGUACCCCGAGGAAAAGAAAUCAACCGAGAUUCCCCCAGUAGCGGCGAGCGAACGGGGAGCAGCCCAGAGCCUGAAUCAGUGUGUGUGUUAGUGGAAGCGUCUGGAAAGGCGCGCGAUACAGGGUGACAGCCCCGUACACAAAAAUGCACAUAUUGUGAGCUCGAUGAGUAGGGCGGGACACGUGGUAUCCUGUCUGAAUAUGGGGGGACCAUCCUCCAAGGCUAAAUACUCCUGACUGACCGAUAGUGAACCAGUACCGUGAGGGAAAGGCGAAAAGAACCCCGGCGAGGGGAGUGAAAAAGAACCUGAAACCGUGUACGUACAAGCAGUGGGAGCCUCUUUAUGGGGUGACUGCGUACCUUUUGUAUAAUGGGUCAGCGACUUAUAUUCUGUAGCAAGGUUAACCGAAUAGGGGAGCCGAAGGGAAACCGAGUCUUAACUGGGCGUUAAGUUGCAGGGUAUAGACCCGAAACCCGGUGAUCUAGCCAUGGGCAGGUUGAAGGUUGGGUAACACUAACUGGAGGACCGAACCGACUAAUGUUGAAAAAUUAGCGGAUGACUUGUGGCUGGGGGUGAAAGGCCAAUCAAACCGGGAGAUAGCUGGUUCUCCCCGAAAGCUAUUUAGGUAGCGCCUCGUGAAUUCAUCUCCGGGGGUAGAGCACUGUUUCGGCAAGGGGGUCAUCCCGACUUACCAACCCGAUGCAAACUGCGAAUACCGGAGAAUGUUAUCACGGGAGACACACGGCGGGUGCUAACGUCCGUCGUGAAGAGGGAAACAACCCAGACCGCCAGCUAAGGUCCCAAAGUCAUGGUUAAGUGGGAAACGAUGUGGGAAGGCCCAGACAGCCAGGAUGUUGGCUUAGAAGCAGCCAUCAUUUAAAGAAAGCGUAAUAGCUCACUGGUCGAGUCGGCCUGCGCGGAAGAUGUAACGGGGCUAAACCAUGCACCGAAGCUGCGGCAGCGACACUAUGUGUUGUUGGGUAGGGGAGCGUUCUGUAAGCCUGUGAAGGUGUGCUGUGAGGUAUGCUGGAGGUAUCAGAAGUGCGAAUGCUGACAUAAGUAACGAUAAAGCGGGUGAAAAGCCCGCUCGCCGGAAGACCAAGGGUUCCUGUCCAACGUUAAUCGGGGCAGGGUGAGUCGACCCCUAAGGCGAGGCCGAAAGGCGUAGUCGAUGGGAAACAGGUUAAUAUUCCUGUACUUGGUGUUACUGCGAAGGGGGGACGGAGAAGGCUAUGUUGGCCGGGCGACGGUUGUCCCGGUUUAAGCGUGUAGGCUGGUUUUCCAGGCAAAUCCGGAAAAUCAAGGCUGAGGCGUGAUGACGAGGCACUACGGUGCUGAAGCAACAAAUGCCCUGCUUCCAGGAAAAGCCUCUAAGCAUCAGGUAACAUCAAAUCGUACCCCAAACCGACACAGGUGGUCAGGUAGAGAAUACCAAGGCGCUUGAGAGAACUCGGGUGAAGGAACUAGGCAAAAUGGUGCCGUAACUUCGGGAGAAGGCACGCUGAUAUGUAGGUGAAGUCCCUUGCGGAUGGAGCUGAAAUCAGUCGAAGAUACCAGCUGGCUGCAACUGUUUAUUAAAAACACAGCACUGUGCAAACACGAAAGUGGACGUAUACGGUGUGACGCCUGCCCGGUGCCGGAAGGUUAAUUGAUGGGGUUAGCGGUAACGCGAAGCUCUUGAUCGAAGCCCCGGUAAACGGCGGCCGUAACUAUAACGGUCCUAAGGUAGCGAAAUUCCUUGUCGGGUAAGUUCCGACCUGCACGAAUGGCGUAAUGAUGGCCAGGCUGUCUCCACCCGAGACUCAGUGAAAUUGAACUCGCUGUGAAGAUGCAGUGUACCCGCGGCAAGACGGAAAGACCCCGUGAACCUUUACUAUAGCUUGACACUGAACAUUGAGCCUUGAUGUGUAGGAUAGGUGGGAGGCUUUGAAGUGUGGACGCCAGUCUGCAUGGAGCCGACCUUGAAAUACCACCCUUUAAUGUUUGAUGUUCUAACGUUGGCCCCUAAUCGGGGUUGCGGACAGUGUCUGGUGGGUAGUUUGACUGGGGCGGUCUCCUCCUAAAGAGUAACGGAGGAGCACGAAGGUUGGCUAAUCCUGGUCGGACAUCAGGAGGUUAGUGCAAUGGCAUAAGCCAGCUUGACUGCGAGCGUGACGGCGCGAGCAGGUGCGAAAGCAGGUCAUAGUGAUCCGGUGGUUCUGAAUGGAAGGGCCAUCGCUCAACGGAUAAAAGGUACUCCGGGGAUAACAGGCUGAUACCGCCCAAGAGUUCAUAUCGACGGCGGUGUUUGGCACCUCGAUGUCGGCUCAUCACAUCCUGGGGCUGAAGUAGGUCCCAAGGGUAUGGCUGUUCGCCAUUUAAAGUGGUACGCGAGCUGGGUUUAGAACGUCGUGAGACAGUUCGGUCCCUAUCUGCCGUGGGCGCUGGAGAACUGAGGGGGGCUGCUCCUAGUACGAGAGGACCGGAGUGGACGCAUCACUGGUGUUCGGGUUGUCAUGCCAAUGGCACUGCCCGGUAGCUAAAUGCGGAAGAGAUAAGUGCUGAAAGCAUCUAAGCACGAAACUUGCCCCGAGAUGAGUUCUCCCUGACCCUUUAAGGGUCCUGAAGGAACGUUGAAGACGACGACGUUGAUAGGCCGGGUGUGUAAGCGCAGCGAUGCGUUGAGCUAACCGGUACUAAUGAACCGUGAGGCUUAACCUU